CAGUCUUGUAGUGGAUGCACGUCGAAUUGCAAAUUCGAAAACGUACCCCAAAAGGGUACCUGGACU
rnacentral:tRNA from 1 species